GCCAGGCAUGGUAAAGAAGUGUCAUAUACUGUUAUAUAUGAUGGUUGUUUUUUUUUUUUAUUUAUUUUUAAUUUAUAAAAAAGUGUGGGCUGCCACAUUAAUAACAUGGUAGGUUCGCCAGUCAUCCACGUAUGUUAAGGCCAUUCUCCAUGAGGGCUCUAAAAUGGGCUCCACCAUCUUUGGGCUCUAAUAAAUAAUAAUUUUUUGAAAAAAAUUAUCCUCAAUGGUACAAAUUUGAUAUUUGUCUAUUAGAGAUUCAUAAGCCAACAAAUAAAGUUGGAUAUAGUGGAG
rnacentral:lncRNA from 1 species